rnacentral:rRNA from 1 species
GACGAACGCUGGCGGCGUGCUUAACACAUGCAAGUCGAACGGUAAGGCUCCAGCUUGCUGGGGUACACGAGUGGCGAACGGGUGAGUAACACGUGGGUGACCUGCCCUGCACUUCGGGAUAAGCCUGGGAAACUGGGUCUAAUACCGGAUAGGACCAUGGUGUGGAUACUGUGGUGGAAAGUUUUUUCGGUGUGGGAUGGGCCCGCGGCCUAUCAGCUUGUUGGUGGGGUAAUGGCCUACCAAGGCGGCGACGGGUAGCCGGCCUGAGAGGGUGGACGGCCACAUUGGGACUGAGACACGGCCCAGACUCCUACGGGAGGCAGCAGUGGGGAAUAUUGCACAAUGGGCGGAAGCCUGAUGCAGCGACGCCGCGUGGGGGAUGACGGCCUUCGGGUUGUAAACUCCUUUCACCAUCGACGAAGGGUUUCUAACGGUAGAUGGAGAAGAAGCACCGGCUAACUACGUG